GUGGGGAAUAUUGGACAAUGGGCGAAAGCCUGAUCCAGCCAUGCCGCGUGUGUGAAGAAGGUCUUCGGAUUGUAAAGCACUUUAAGUUGGGAGGAAGGGCAGUAAGUUAAUACCUUGCUGUUUUGACGUUACCGACAGAAUAAGCACCGGCUAACUUCGUGCCAGCAGCCGCGGUAAUACGAAGGGUGCAAGCGUUAAUCGGAAUUACUGGGCGUAAAGCGCGCGUAGGUGGUUUUGUAAGUUGGAGGUGAAGUCCCCGGGCUCAACCUGGGAACUGCAUCCAAAACUGCAUGACUAGAGUACGGUAGAGGGUAGUGGAAUUUCCUGUGUAGCGGUGAAAUGCGUAGAUAUAGGAAGGAACACCAGUGGCGAAGGCGACUACCUGGACUGAUACUGACACUGAGGUGCGAAAGCGUGGGGAGCAAACAGGAUUAGAUACCCGGGUAGUCC
rnacentral:rRNA from 1 species